UACGGGGGGGGGCAAGCGUUGUUCGGAAUUACUGGGCGUAAAGCGCGCGUAGGCGGCUUUGCAAGUCGAGUGUGAAAUCCCCAGGCUUAACCUGGGAACUGCAUUCGAGACUGCAUGGCUAGAGUAUGGGAGAGGGAAGUGGAAUUUCAGGUGUAGCGGUGAAAUGCGUAGAUAUCGGAAGGAACAUCAGUGGCGAAAGCGACUUCCUGGACCAGUACCGACGUUCAGGCACGAAAGCGUGGGGAGCAAACAGG
rnacentral:rRNA from 1 species